rnacentral:rRNA from 1 species
UGAGUAACCUGCCCUUCACUUCGGGAUAACUCCGGGAAACCGGGGCUAAUACUGGAUGUGACCUGGUGCCGCAUGGUGCUGGGUGGAAAGUUUUUCGGUGGGGGAUGGACUCGCGGUCUAUCAGCUUUGUUGGUGAGGUAAUGGCUUACCAAGGCGACGACGGGUAGCCGGCCUGAGAGGGCGACCGGCCACACUGGGACUGAGACACGGCCCAGACUCCUACGGGGAGGCA